AUCAUUCUUUUUAUAGUUGAUGUUUUUAAACAACACGAUGAUUUUGAUACCAGAAUCAACGAUUUAAAGUCGAUGGUAAAGAAUCAAGGACUUAAAAUUGCAGAUCCAUUGCGAAGGUUCAUUGAAGGAUAUGGAGAUAAAGGCG